UACGAAGGGGGCUAGCGUUGUUCGGAUUUACUGGGCGUAAAGCGCACGUAGGCGGCUUGUUAAGUCAGAGGUGAAAGCCUGGAGCUCAACUCCAGAACUGCCUUUGAUACUGGCAGGCUCGAGUAUGGAAGAGGUUGGUGGAACUGCGAGUGUAGAGGUGAAAUUCGUAGAUAUUCGCAAGAACACCAGUGGCGAAGGCGGCCAACUGGUCCAUCACUGACGCUGAGGUGCGAAAGCGUGGGGAGCAAACAGG
rnacentral:rRNA from 1 species